rnacentral:misc_RNA from 1 species
UCCGAGUUGUCCCCGGCAGUCCUCUUAGAGUCCCCGACAUAACUCGCUGGCAACUAAGAGCAGGGGUUGCGCUCGUUGCGGCACUUAAGCCAACACCUCACGGCACGAGCUGACGACAGCCAUGCAGCACCUGUGCUGGCCCCUUGCGGACACCGGCUUUCACCGGUUUCACCCUGCAUGUCAAGCCCUGGUAAGGUUCUUCGCGUUGCGUCGAAUUAAGCCACAUGCUCCACCGCUUGUGCGGGCCCCCGCCAAUUCCUUUGAGUUUCAACCUUGCGGCCGUAGUCCCCAGGCGGGGUGCUUAACGCGUUAGCUGCGGCACGGGAUCCGUGGAUAGGACCCCACACCUAGCACCCAUCGUUUACGGCGUGGACUAC